rnacentral:rRNA from 1 species
UGGCGAACGGGUGAGUAACGCGUGAGUAACCUGCCCUGGAGUGGGGGACAACAGUUGGAAACGACUGCUAAUACCGCAUAAGCCCACGAUCCGGCAUCGGAUUGAGGGAAAAGGAUUUAUUCGCUUCAGGAUGGACUCGCGUCCAAUUAGCUGGUUGGUGAGGUAACGGCCCACCAAGGCGACGAUUGGUAGCCGGACUGAGAGGUUGAACGGCCACAUUGGGACUGAGACACGGCCCAG